rnacentral:rRNA from 1 species
UACGGAGGGUGCAAGCGUUGUCCGGAAUCACUGGGCGUAAAGGGCGCGUAGGCGGCUCAUGAAGGCUGUGGUGAAAGUCCGGGGCUCAACCUCGGAUCGGCCGUGGCGACUCGUGGGCUGGAGCACUGUAGAGGCGGGUGGAAUUCCGGGUGUAGCGGUGGAAUGCGUAGAGAUCCGGAAGAACACCGGUGGCGAAGGCGGUCCGCUGGGGUGUUGCUGACGCUGAGGCGCGACAGCGUGGGGAGCAAACAGG